rnacentral:misc_RNA from 1 species
AACGCACAUUGCGCCCGCUGGUAUUCCAGCGGGCAUGCCUGUUCGAGCGUCAUUUCAACCCUCAAGCUCCUCUUGGCAGCUUGGUGCUGGGGCGCUGCCCGGCCUCCGUGCCUGGGCAGGCCCUCAAAUCCAGUGGCGGGCUCGCCAGCACCCCGAGCGCAGUAGUUUUUACCACCUCGCUUUGGAAGGUUCUGGCGGCGUCUGGCCGUAAAACCCCCCCUAAUUUUUGAAGAGUUGACCUCGGAUCAGGUAGGAAUACCCGCUGAACUUAA